GGUGCAUUACUUCUUAAUCAGCUUGAUUUCAUAUGCUGUCAAUGAACUUCUAAUUUCGUUGCCGUCGCUAAACUUAAGUUGGUGUCGGUAAAAAAUCGCUCGACUUUAAUUUUCUUUCAUUAAGGUCACCAUUUUAAAAUUUGGUGGAUUUUCAGUUAGAUUUUUAACAUGAUAUAUUUAAUAUAGUUUAACAAUUCAAAAUAGGCUUUAUGACUUUCUUAUUUAGUCAGUUAAGCAAAAUUUUAGAUUAAUCUCUUAAAAAAAUGGCAAUAAUGAACUUAAUGAAACAAAUCAUAUUUAAUGAUUUUGCUGAUACAAAUUGAAGAUAAGUGAUUGUGCUGAAAUUACCAAGAAGUUCAGCACCAAUUUUGAAAUUAAGACCACCUCAAUGUACUACUGACAAUUUGGAUAUUAUAUAUAUUUUUUUCCUUGUUACUGGAGAUCAAUUUCUUGCUCAAUUGCAUUUUGUUACCCA
rnacentral:misc_RNA from 1 species